rnacentral:tRNA from 1 species
UCCGCUGUGGUGUAACGGCAGCACUGCUGAUUUUGGGUCAGUCAGGUCCGGGUUCGAAUCCUGGCGGCGGAG